GGAAAGGGAAGGUUUUUGAGAUGGAAGGCAGAGAAUGGGAACAAAAGAAGAAAAAGCUGUUUGUUUCAAAUCAAUAUUCUCCAAGAGGAUGUCUUGUUUCCCCAGGGAUAUUCUGAGGGACUCACAGGAUCAGAGCUGCGACACUUCUAACAUAUGAAUUCUCUCAAUUCUGAUGCCCUUUGACCUCUGCCACACAAUGCCAAGACAAACCCAGACCCCAGGCCCUGGAAACAGAGGAGGGGCAGGACGUGAUAGAGCUUCAGCAACAUGGAGAGGAGAUAGCCGGUCUGGCUAGGAUGGAAGAAAUGUACAUGGAGAAGAAAGACAGAAGAACCAUCACUGAGCACUAAACUAAUCAGCCAUAAUGUGCAGAUUGACUGGCAAGCCUAUCACCACCUUGAUAACAGAUGACAUUAAAGAGAAAGUAUCAAUGUGAGGAUUAAAUGGGAUGAAAAAUAAAACAUCUGUCGGAGUGCCUGGAAUAUGGUACACAAAUAUCCAAGAUUGGAAAGAAGAAAGAAAAUGACGACAGAAUUUUGCAGUCUACAAGGCAAACACUGCCAUUCAUGUAGUUAUGGAGUUCCUACUAUGUGCAGACAAUGGGAAACUUUACGAAGGGUUUUAAAAAGCAGCAGGUUUAAGAGCUGACCAUAUCUGAAAGACUCUAGAAUAGCAGAGGAUUGAUUAAAGGUCUGUGGCCACAGAUUGGAUGUGUUGAUUUUAUUUCCCCAAAGGUAUCCACAUAGCAAC
rnacentral:lncRNA from 1 species